GUGCUCACUUCGGCAGCACAUAUACUAAAAUUGGAACGAUACAGAGAAGAUUAGCAUGGCCCCUGCACAAGGAUGACAUGCAAAUCUGUG
rnacentral:snRNA from 1 species